UAAACAGAAAUGGGAUAUCAUUUACCAUCUGGGACAGGUGGACAAUUUAUGGGAAAGAGGAUUUUACUCUGUUGGACUUCAUAAAUGCUGUCAGAGAGAAAUAUGGAAUUGAACCAACUAUGGUUGUACAGGGAGUCAAAAUGCUGUAUGUUCCUGUGAUGCCAGGUCAUAUUAAAAGGUUAAAGCUGACGAUGCAAAAGCUUGUGAAACCCUCAGCUGAUAAGAAGUAUGUGGAUUUGACAGUGUCGUUUCCUCCAGAGACCGAUGGAGAGGAGGACUUGCCAGGGCCACCAGUGAGAUACUACUUUGUUCAGGAAGACAAUUGACAGCAGAGACCCAAAAGUCACUCCCGGACUAUUUGUUCUGAAAGGAGUGUGCUAAUUUUCAGCAAUUAAAGAUGGUACUAUAUAUUUGGUUUUGGUGAAGCCUUAAUUAAAACAAAUGGUGAAAAUCAGUGGCUUUGCACUGAAGACAAACUGGAUUUAUGUCUCAUCUGCUCCCGUUUUCUUCAAACCUGUUUGCUCAAAGGAGGAUUGGACACUCCAUGAGAUGGCACGUCCAGUGCAGUCCUUACCUGAAAGGCAAGAUUUGCAUUAAUUUGUGGGGAGUUGAAGAAAGCAAGAAGAACGGUGAACCUAACAAAUGGUCCCCAAGUGUGCACAUUAGGCACUGCUUAGAGAAGAGUGUGCAGAAAAGGGGGAAACUGCCGUUUUAUGAUACUUCUGGUAUUCUGAGAACAUCUCAAAUCCAUUUCAUGUGUUACUCAAAAUUCUCAAUUUCAUUCUUGCCAUCUACACGUGAGAUUUGAACCCAUCCAAAAGGUUUAAACUCCCUCUUAGAGGCAGACGAGCUGCUUUACUGUGGUGUUGGUGCUCUCUUCUGAGCAGUUAGUGAUGCUGUGUGUCCCAACGUGGACACCCAGGGAGGCAGGUCUCGAGUUAGGUGUAAAUUGUCACAGCUCCCCUGAGUCACAAGAGCUGGAAUUGUUGAUUUAUCCCUGCUAAGACUGUUCUUUGGGGAAUACUGCAACACGGGGACCGUGGAAACCUAUCGGAGAGCUGAGCGAACGCUUUCAACAAUAAAACUUUGCCUUCAAGAAAGAGAAAACGCUCGGUGUGGUUGACCCUUUCUGCCCUCACCAAAUGAAAAAAGCUGUAGUGGAUGAUGACUUUAAAAGGAAGGGAAGACAAGUGACUGUGGAUGUUUGUCACAGUGAGCGCCGUUCCCUCAGCUGCUCCUUUUGGUACCGUUUCCUUACAGUGAAUGGUUACGCUGCACACCUGUCCACAGCACCAGUCUGAGCUGCACUGAACUCUGAGGAUUUUAUUGUCAUUAUCAGUCAAUUACUAGGAUAUCUAAGUAUAAAGCAUCUGCUUAAUGGGAAAUAAUUAGGGACUAGCUUUGCUACUGUUGUGAGACAGAGGUGUGUUACAGAAGCAUCUAUGACUCCACCUUAUUUUCUCUAUCAUUUAAACACUGGAUAGUUGAGCUGGUAGUUCUUUUUUUUCUUUUUUUCUUUUUUUUUGUUUUUUCUCCCAAUGAUGACAGUGUGAAGUGAGAUUAGAAUAAAAGCCUGUGAACUGGAAAA